GACGGGGGGUCCUAGCGUUGUUCGGAAUCAUUGGGCGUAAAGCGUGUGCAGGUGGCUUAGUAAGUUAGGUGUGAAAGCCUUGGGCUCAACCCAAGAAGUGCACUUAAAACUGCUAAGCUUGAGUAUGGAAGAGGGUCGUGGAAUUCCUGGUGUAGUGGUGAAAUACGUAGAUAUCAGGAGGAACACCGGUGGCGAAGGCGGCGACCUGGUCCAAUACUGACACUCAUACACGAAAGCGUGGGGAUCAAACAGG
rnacentral:rRNA from 1 species